CUUUGAUCAUGGCUCAGGAUAAACGCUGGCGGCGCACAUAAGACAUGCAAGUCGAACGGACUUAAUCCAUUCUUUACGAUUGGAAGCGGUUAGUGGCGGACUGGUGAGUAACGCGUGAGCAACCUGCCUAUAAGAGGGGAACAACAGUUAGAAAGGGGGGGGAAUACCGCAUAAGCUGAUAGGACCACAUGGUCUAGUCAGAAAAGGAGCAAUCCGCUUAUAGAUGGGCUCGCGUCUGAUUAGCUAGUUGGUGGGGCAAUGGCCUACCAAGGCGACGAUCAGUAGCCGGACUGAGAGGUUGAACGGCCACAUUGGGACUGAGAUACGGCCCAGACUCCUACGGGAGGCAGCAGUCGGGAAUAUUGCGCAAUGGAGGAAACUCUGACGCAGUGACGCCGCGUAUAGGAAGAAGUUUUUCGGAAUGUAAACUAUUGUCAUUAGAGAAGAGAAAGGACGGUACCUAAAGAGGAAGCCCCGGCUAACUAUGUGCCAGCAGCCGCGGUAAUACAUAGGGGGCGAGCGUUAUCCGGAAUUAUUGGGUGUAAAGGGUGCGUAGACGGGAAAUUAAGUUAGUUGUGAAAACCCCAGGCUCAACUUGGGACGUGCAACUAAAACUGAUAUUCUUGAGUACUGGAGAGGAAAGUGGAAUUCCUAGUGUAGCGGUGAAAUGCGUAGAUAUUAGGAGGAACACCAGUGGCGAAGGCGACUUUCUGGACAGAAACUGACGUUGAGGCACGAAAGUGUGGGGAGCAAACAGGAUUAGAUACCCUGGUAGUCCACACCGUAAACGAUGGAUACUAGGUGUAGGCAGGAGAAUGUCUGUGCCGCCGCAAACGCAUUAAGUAUCCCACCUGGGGAGUACGGCCGCAAGGUUGCAACUCAAAGGAAUUGACGGA
rnacentral:rRNA from 1 species